rnacentral:rRNA from 1 species
GUGGAUUAGAUACCCUGGUAGUCCACGCCGUAAACGAUGAGAACUUGACGUCGGUUUGCUCUGCGAAUCGGUGUCGUAGCUAACGCGAUAAGUUCUCCGCCUGGGGAGUACGGCCGCAAGGUUGAAACUCAAAGGAAUUGACGGGGGCCCGCACAAGCGGUGGAGUAUGUGGUUUAAUUCGAUGCAACGCGAAGAACCUUACCUGGUCUUGACAUCUACGGAAGUCUGCAGAGAUGCGGAUGUGCCUUCGGGAACCGUAAGACAGGUGCUGCAUGGCUGUCGCCAACU